GAUGAACGCUAGCUACAGGCUUAACACAUGCAAGUCGAGGGGAAACGACAUCGAAAGCUUGCUUUUGGUGGGCGUCGACCGGCGCACGGGUGAGUAACGCGUAUCCAACCUGCCCACCACUUGGGGAUAACCUUGCGAAAGUAAGACUAAUACCCGAUGAUAUCCCUAGACGACAUCUGAAAGGGAUUAAAGAUUUAUCGGUGAUGGAUGGGGAUGCGUCUGAUUAGCUUGUUGGCGGGUAACGGCCCACCAAGGCAACGAUCAGUAGGGGUUCUGAGAGGAAGGUCCCCCCACAUUGGAACUGAGACACGGUCCAAACUCCUACGGGAGGCAGCAGUGAGGAAUAUUGGUCAAUGGAC
rnacentral:rRNA from 1 species